rnacentral:rRNA from 1 species
UACGUAGGGUGCAAGCGUUAAUCGGAAUUACUGGGCGUAAAGCGUGCGCAGGCGGUUUUGUAAGUCUGUCGUGAAAUCCCCGGGCUCAACCUGGGAAUUGCGAUGGAGACUGCAAGGCUGGAGUCUGGCAGAGGGGGGUAGAAUUCCACGUGUAGCAGUGAAAUGCGUAGAGAUGUGGAGGAACACCGAUUGCGAAGGCAGCUCACAAAACUAUAACUGACACUGAGGCUCGAAAGUGCGGGGAUCAAACAGG